rnacentral:rRNA from 1 species
UACGUAGGUCCCGAGCGUUGUCCGGAUUUAUUGGGCGUAAAGCGAGCGCAGGUGGUUUAUUAAGUCUGGUGUAAAAGGCAGUGGCUCAACCAUUGUAUGCAUUGGAAACUGGUAGACUUGAGUGCAAGAGAGGAGAGUGGAAUUCCAUGUGUAGCGGUGAAAUGCGUAGAUAUAUGGAGGAACACCGGUGGCGAAAGCGGCUCUCUGGCCUGCAACUGACACUGAGGCUCGAAAGCGUGGGGAGUAAACAGG